rnacentral:pre_miRNA from 1 species
ACCGAUGGUUGUUGAAUCUUAUCCUGAAUGGUGUGCCCGUCUGUCCUAUGUACUGCAUGUUACAUAUUCCACACUCUUAGAGUGUGGAAUAUGUAACAUGCAGUACAUAGGACAGACGGGCACGCCAUUCAGGAUAAGAUUCAACA